rnacentral:rRNA from 1 species
ACGUGAUCUGAGUUCAGACCGGAGCAAUCCAGGUCAGUUUCUAUCUAUAAUAGGCGCUCUCUCUAGUACGAAAGGACCGAAAAAGCACGGCCAAUACUUUAUGCAAGCCGCAAUUACUAAAACAUGAUUAAAUCUCAAUAAACAUAUAACCCAUUAGCAAACUUUAGAAAAAAGUCGUUAGCGUAGCAAAGCCCGGUAUUGCAAAAGAUCUAAGCCCUUUAUACAGAGAUUCAAUUUCUCUCGCUAAUUUUGAGUCCAACUUUAAUUAUACAUUCAAUAUGCUUUAUU